ensembl:lncRNA
ACGAGUCCGAGUCUUCAUAACGAAUAUCGAGUCUUCAUAACGAGUCCGAGUCUUCAUAACGAUCCGAAGUCUUCAUAACGAAUAUUGAGUCUUCAUAACGAGUCCGAGUCUUCAUAACGAAUAUUGAGUCUUCAUAACGAAUAUUGAGUCUUCAUAACGAGUCCGAGUCUUCAUAACGAGUCCGAGUCUUCAUAACGAAUAUCGAGUCUUCAUAACGAAUAUCGAGUCUUCAUAACGAAUAUCGAGUCUUCAUAACGAGUCCGAGUCUUCAUAACGAAUAUUGAGUCUUCAUAACGAAUAUCGAGUCUUCAUAACGAGUCCGAGUCUUCAUAACAAAGUCUGAGCCUUCAUAACGAAUAUUGAUCUUCAUAACGAGUCUGACUUGUUUUUAUUAUAUGGCCUGGUGUGAUGGAUCCUAGUCUUCAUAAUGAGCAUGAAUUUUUAUAAUAUGGAUUAAUGUUAAUGAGUCACAUGGACUUCUCUUCACAAUUAGUGUGAGUCUUCAUAAUGAGAUUUAUUCUUUAACGAAGCCGUGUCUAAAUAAUGAGUCUCUUUCUUCUGAUCUGGCCUUUUCUUUAUAAUGAAUCUUAGUCGUUAUAAUAAGUCUUAAUCGUCAUAGUCUUAGUCCUCAGUCUGAGUCUUGAUAAUAGCUGGGUUUCUAUCAUGUAGUCUAAUGUUUAUAACGACUCCGAGCCUUCACAAUGCCUCCAAGUCUUCAUAAAGCCUCUGUGUAUUCACGAGUCCGAGUCUUUGUCAAGUGGCCUGGUGUUUAUAAUGAUUCUGAGUCAUCACGGAGACGAUAUUCAUAGCGGAUCUGAGGUUUAAUAACCAGUCAGAUGUUUCAUAACCAGUCUGAGUGUUUGAGCCCUAUUUAUAAUAAAUCGUAGUUUUUAAAAACGAGUCUGAGUAUUCGUCAGAUGAUCGUUCAUAACGAGUCUGAGCUUUUACGAAAGGCUUUCGAUGCUGAUUAAACUCUCCAGUAAACGCAGGCACGGAAACAAGCCCGUGCUGAAAAAAAAAUCACGUUUAGUGCUGUAAUUAUCCAUUUUAUGGUUAAAAAUGAUUUUAAACGAGUUAUUUGUACAGAACACCUCGAGUGAAACUGCUCCAUGAAGAACGGUUUAGCCGCGCGGCGCUCGGUUGUGAUCUCGGAGACGCCACACUGCACACUUUAUCAAGCGCAAGUUCAAACAGAGACUGUGGGGUUAAGUGUCUGGCUGGAGAAGACGUUGCCAGAGCGUCUGUUCCCAUUCAAACGCUUCUCUGGUUUUAACAGAGUCCCAAAAAGACUGACUGUACUCAUUUUAUAAAAGCUGCACGGCUGCUGGGUAAGAAAUCAGAUCAGCACCCGCCGGGCUCGGGGUGGUGGUGGUGGUGGAGGCAGGGGGGCGGAGUGACGGAGAUGCUAGGCCAGAUGCCCAGACCCAAUUCGUGGCCUCUUUACCUCAUUUUUCUCUCUCACAGAUGUUGUGUAAAGUUUUCGAAAGCUUCAACUUUUGUUCCUUUCCAGCCGACGAGAAGGCCCCUUUUGUGCGUUCUUGAUGUCGUCUGCUUUGCAUCGCAGCCCUGUUCGGCUUUGAUCUCUUCCCGGGAACGUUAGACUCCCACGAGCUUUCGAGUACGGUUCAGGAUCUGACAAAGCUGUCUUCUAAUCUAGUGGCUGAUUUUCCUCUGCGCCUCCCCAGACACGGCUCACUCGCAAUAACGAGCUGGCCGUAAAUUAAACCCGCGUAGCGAGCGACUUGCUGAGCACGCAUCGCAGGGAUCGCGCUCCGUGUAGGAGAGUGCGCGUGUCGACGGCCGAUUGAUGGUUAGCCUCCGGACCCCUCUGGCUCGUGAGAGGAAUUUGGACGGGCUCUGAAGGCAGCCUGUCAUCCGUUUGCCAAAGCCGUCUGCAGAGAACAUUUACAGCAUGUUGUAAUAAAACACUGGGAUUUAACGGACACGUGCUCGGCUCUGGGGUGGGUGCUGCCCCCUGUGGGACGUCUUCUGUAAAAUCAUUUGAGCUACAUUAUUGAACAGACCAAAAGGUUUCUUUCUCUCUCUCUCUCUCUGUAGGGAAACCUUCAAAGAUUUUUCCUAAGAGUUACUAAAUACCUUAGUGGUGUACCUUGUAUACGACAACACUACUCGAAUAUCGAUUCUGAUUGGUUAGAAGGGAGUACAGUAGUGGAGCUGCAAAUCACAGGUUUAAAUACGUACUCGUUUCUAUAGUAACCGCUCGUCACCAGGGCCUCGUGUACAGUAGCAGACCCUCCAUACGUAAACGGAUCCUAAAUACGUGGGACGUCAUUGAUAUUGUGAAGGAGUCUCCAGUGUCGGAGCUUUGGAGCAGUAAAGCUUCAGGACAGAGGAAUGUACGCUUCGUGGUUUCUUGGUUGUUUUAUUAACGUCGAGAGAGCGAGAGAGAGCGAGAGGCUGGUACGGUACGGCACGCGACACGCGACUUCAUCACACCACCUCGCGAUUGAUUCUUUUCCUAUAAGAGGAUGACACCGAGUGUUUUAUUGCUUACUUGUCUGGGGUUUCAUCACAGAAUAAUGAUAAUGAGGCAUUAUUGCUCAGAGCACUGUGAAAUUCUUUUCUUCGCAUACCCAAGGAUGCCGGGAAGUCAGGGUCAGAGCGCAGGGUCGGCCAUGAUACGGCACCCCCGGAGCAGAGAGGGUUAAGGGCCUUGCUCAAGGGCCCAACAGUGGCAGCUUGGCAGUGAUCAGUCACGCCGAGCCUUAACCGCCAAACCACCACCGCCCCCGAAUGAAGACUUGAUAUCAAUCCUUGCUUAUUUUGGCAUCGCCGAGUCGUAUUUCCACGGACGCACGUUCAGUCCGGUUGUAAAGGAAGUGCGCCGAGAGGAUGGACGACUGAACAUCGAGCUGAUCCAGAAAGCCCAGACACGCCGCUAUGCUGAUAUGUUCAACAGAUCUGAUUUAAAAGCCAAAGCUAUCCACUACCCGAGCAAAGGCCGUGUCCUUUUCUGUCUCUGUAUCGGCGCGAUUAAUCCAGCUCCUCCGAGUUCAGGGUUCUCCGUGGCCUGUCGGGAGAGGAUGAGCUCAACCCGCUAAUGAAAGGCUUUUCCCUAGCUGAGCUUCAGCAGUUCUGUCAGGCUUAACAGUGAAUCCAAUCAGGCACAGUGCCACUGCUUAUGCAAGACACCGAGGUAAACGAUAUCAGCGUUCUGUUCUCCCAGUCUGAAAGUCAUCCAGAGGCUGUCUGUGGUCGUUUUCUACACGUUCUCCAGACCUUAACUUUUACAUUCAGAUCUUUGAGGGGUUUUUACCCAUCCAUAUUCAUUCCAUAGCCAAACUGCUAAACUGUUUAAAAGCUAAAUUAAGUGUCCAAAUGAUGGGACACGGUAAAUUUAUUUAUUUAUUUUCUCUCUCUCUCUUCUGUAUUUAAACUCACCGUACAGUAUGUAUGAACUUAAACAUUCAGAAAUGAUUUAGUUUGCAUAUCAUUAGCGUAACAUCAUUGAAAUGCAACACAAUAUAUGUGCGUUCAGCCAGACUUCACCGUGACACCGAGUAGGCUGGUUAGAUAUUCAAAACCAUUUAUCAGUCAUAAAACUUACAGUACAUUACAUACGUACAGUGGAUUUAGCUUUUAAACCGCCACUGGUUUGUUUAUCAAGUCUAAAAAAUCCCCCCGCUUGCAUCACACGUCAUUUCAAAGGGACGAGGGAUUUUGGAGUGAUCUAACCGGUGUAAGAAACUCAAGGGUUCCUUACGGGUUCUUUGGAUCGUUAAGGCUUCCUGACAGAGUCAUAGGUGAAAGGCGUGUCGUCAGGGAAACUCCCGGCCGAUGUUUAACAUUCGCAGGAGGUAAAUAUACACACGCGAAGCGCCGUAUGAAUAAAGCCGAGGUGAUCCGAGGUGGACGGUUGCGCCCUCUGGGCAGGUCUGUUUUUUUUUUUAAAAAAAGCCCAAACAGCUGAAUUAAUUCGGAUCUGCCUACGUCUGGGCCCGAUGUGGUUGUGUGAAUAUAAUACACACCUAUCAGCCAGGAAGAUUAGUGUAUCCUGAGACUUUUAUAGCUGCCACUGAGAUUUAAGUGCUUCUGUUGUGCUUUACCACAAAAGCCAAAUCCAAUAAAAGGCCUAAACGUGAAAUGGAACCUCAGGAUGUUUUCUGAAGGCUGCCAUCCAAAAACUGAUGAAAGUGAGCCGCUUUGUGUAUUCACCGGCGAAACCUGUUUUGUUUUAGGGGGGUUUUUGAACAGCUAGAUUUCUCUUUAUCCCUUCAGCGAGGUUCUUACUGCAAGGAUUUCUGCUCUCUUUGUCCCGGAUCUCUCAGGAAUAAGGUAAGGGGAGGUGGAGUGUACCGCGGUGUAGUUGGCACGGUGCCAUGUUAGGUGGAAUGAAGUUUACACAGCGUUACCAAAGCUUGCUGGCUAGCUCGUUCGCUAACUAGCGCACCGGUCGAUCUGGGCGUUGUACACCCUAGAGAGUGUUUUCCGAGCUUCUUUUUUUAAAAAAAUUUCGGAAGCUAACGAUCCUUAUUUAUCAAAUAAACCCUCAAAGAGAUCUUUUUCUUUCUAAAGCGUACGUAGUAACCGGGUACGAUUGUGAUGCAAACUAGCCAACUAUUGCUCGUUAUUUUUGCUCAUAUGGAAGAAAUCGUCUCUAAAGUCGUCAAGGGGUCUAGAAGACUAUUCAGUACUAUCGUUGUUGUUAUUAUUAUUAUUAUUAUUAUUAUCAUACUUUAAUGUCGUUCAAUCCUUUAAUCCCAGUCCUGUGAUGUGUACGAGGGUAGCCUCAUUCCCCUACCCUUCCCUAGAUUUGCCCCUAUUUGCCCUUGCUGACAGGAGCGAGGGCAGGAACUCUGAGCCAAUCAGAUAGCACAGCGAGCCACGGAGGAGAUGCCGGGCUGCAAGACGGCCUUCCCCUCGAGACCAGACCCGUCGUUCUGCUUCGAUUCUUUAAAAAGAUUAUCAUCGCCCUUUUUUUUUUUUUUUUCUCCCCCGAGCCGCUGUGCCAGGUUUCAGACGGCUCCCGUUCAAAGUCGGAUUAUCAAGUCGAGUCGCGGACAGCCGCGAAGAAGCCCGAGCGGGACCGGGGAACCUUCCGAUCACGUCGAUACGGCUGUAAUUAUAGACCGACGGCGGGUUCUGCUGAAGAACCGGGAGGAGACUCGAGGACGUGACCCCUCGUCUGAAAAUAAAGAACUGAUAACGUAGAUUCCUGUAAAGUGGAGCAAAUCCCCAGGCUAAUUCAUGUCACCGGGGAUGAUGAAAUAGUUUAUUAAAAAAAAAAAAAAAAAGAUUCUGGUGAGCUUCUUAAUCUCGCAUGUCUCUCAGAAAUCCUUCAGAGCCAGAUGAGAUGUUGCUUCUGAGGGAGGAGUCCUAAUUACAGAGCCGUGAGCUGAACUAAACACACAUGGCCAUUUGUUUAUUUGGAACUUUGUGAUCAUGGCCGUAAUUGUAUCGUUGUAACUCUGGAAUUUUGACUGAAGUUUUAUAAAAAAAAAAUAAUAAUAAAGGACUUGACUUCCCGUGCUACUGUGGAGUAAAGGAUGACUGUAAGAGACGCCUUUAUUUACAUUACAGCACAGUGAGAUUCUUUUCUUCGCACAUCCCGGAGCGCAGGGUCGGCCGUGGUACGGUACCCCUGGAGCAGAGAGGGUUAAGGGCCUUGCGCAAGGGCCCAACAGUGGCUUUGCGGAGCUGGGGCUCGAACCCCCGGACCGUCUGAUCGGUAACCCGGAGCCUUCACCGCUGAGCCUCCGCUACAGUGAUGUGAUGUGCUCCGUUACCACUAAAAUGACGUUGUUCGACGCAUGUACACUUCUUGAGUAGUGUUGAAGAUACCUUCUGUAUUUAUUUAUUGACUCCUCGUUAUGCCUCUGCCACUAGAUGGCGGUGGAGGCGUCAUGGUUUCGGGUCGUCUGCCCGUUCCUCCAUCUGUCUGUCUGUGUUCCUCUCACCUCAUAGUGUAAUAUCUCGAGAAUGAGUGCUUGACUGUUGAUCUAUAUCACAGGAAAAAGAAGCAGUUCAGUUUUGGAACUGAUCCAACAGGGUCAAGGUCACAACAAGGUCAAGUGUCUAAAAUAGCAGCUCGAGUUCUCUUGAUUUUCAGCUUCCGAAGAUAAGUCUUCUCAUCGCACCCGGUGUUCCCCGGGAUCCGCUGCCAUCCUGACCGGGAUACUGAAAAUGAGCGAAUCAGUGAAUAGACAGCAAGCUAGGCUAGUUAGUUAGCCAAUCCUGGCUAGCAAUGGUACGAGCAUUGUUAUCGUUACAGCAUGCACCUUUCUUUCAUAUCAGUGCAGAGUGAACUGUAAUAAUGAAUGUUUUUGCAAUCCGUGCCUGUGAUUCUGUUCCCCGCUGAGGAGGAACAGGGUGUAACGUGGUGCCGAAAGUGGUUUUGGCUAGCAAGCCAUCUGACCCCUGCGUGUGACUUUGAGAGUGUGUGCUUGAUCAGUGCUGCACUUUUAGAGCCGAGCCACACAACACACUCCUCCAUUUUCACUGCCGUGUCAUCGUUUAAAACCAGAAGCAGAUAAACCAGUGAAAACUUGGCACUGCGCUUUUUAAUGUUGUGUGUGUGUGUGUGUGUGUGUGUGUGUUGACACACUGUAUCCUGAAACGCUGUGUUCUUCCCUCUCUCGGUCUUUGUGUUGCUGAAUCAGAGAGAAGUGGGUGGAUCGCAUGCAGGACAGGUUACGAGGUUGUGCGUAGGGAGCGAGGGAUGAGGGAGGGAAAGAGAGAGAGACAGCUGAAUAGCUGUUAUCGUGUGGGAGAGAACAAGUGGAAGGAGGGCUGCGUCUGUCCGCCUCACUCCUGCACAAGAGCGAGAAAGAGAGUGUGUGUGGUGUAGUCGGCGCAGGCGCUGGGAUCUGGCAGUCCUCAUCGGCACUGCAGAGAGGACUCGCUCGUUGCUCGGUGCGCCGUCGGUUCGUCCGCUGUUUGUUCCUCCAGUCGUCUAGGUGUCAGUCAUGGUGCCGUCACUCAGCCUGGCGUGUACACACUGUCUGCGUGAAGAGGUGAGUCCCGGAGUUGGGUGAAGGGAUGAAAUGGUACGGAAUAAAGAUGGGGGUUUAUGUAUAUGCGUAAACUAUUCCUCGUGUUAAUUUGCUCUCGCUCCGCCACUGAGGAAAACCAAAAGGGUCGUUCACUUUUUAACAGGGUCGAUGGAUUACAGUAAGGGGCGGGGCUUACGUCAUAGAGAAGGCGUGGCCGGGACAGGUGAACUAAGUUUAGCUGGGUGCAGUUUCUUUUGAGGACACUUUUUUAGUUUUUGGCAGAUAUUUAUACUGCUGAGUGAACGCAGUCUGGGGAGGGAAAGAUAAACAGUUAGAGAAAGAUAAACAGUUAAAGAUAAACAGUUAGAGAAAGAUAAACAGCGAGUGAAAGGUAACUAGCGAGUGAAAGCAAACUAGCGAGUGAAAGCAAACUAGCGAGUGAAAGGUAACUAGCGAGUGAAAGGUAACGAGCGAGUGAAAGCUAACUAGCGAGUGAAAGCAAACUAGCGAGUGAAAGCAAAACUAGCGAGUGAAAGGUAACGAGCGAGUGAAAGGUAACUAGCGAGUGAAAGGUAACGAGCGAGUGAAAGGUAACGAGCGAGUGAAAUGUAACUAGCGAGUGAAAGGUAACUAGCGAGUGAAAGGUAACUAGCGAGUGAAAGGUAACGAGCGAGUGAAAGGUAACUAGCGAGUGAAAGCAAACUAGCGAGUGAAAGCAAACUAGCGAGUGAAAGGUAACGAGCGAGUGAAAGGUAACUAGCGAGUGAAAGGUAACGAGCG